CUCCGUAGGGUGAACCUGCGGAGGGAUCAUUACACAAAUAUGAAGGCGGGCUGGAACCUCUCGGGGUUACAGCCUUGCUGAAUUAUUCACCCUUGUCUUUUGCGUACUUCUUGUUUCCUUGGUGGGUUCGCCCACCACUAGGACAAACAUAAACCUUUUGUAAUUGCAAUCAGCGUCAGUAACAAAUUAAUAAUUACAACUUUCAACAACGGAUCUCUUGGUUCUGGCAUCGAUGAAGAACGCAGCGAAAUGCGAUAAGUAGUGUGAAUUGCAGAAUUCAGUGAAUCAUCGAAUCUUUGAACGCACAUUGCGCCCUUUGGUAUUCCAAAGGGCAUGCCUGUUCGAGCGUCAUUUGUACCCUCAAGCUUUGCUUGGUGUUGGGCGUCUUGUCUCUAGCUUUGCUGGAGACUCGCCUUAAAGUAAUUGGCAGCCGGCCUACUGGUUUCGGAGCGCAGCACAAGUCGCACUCUCUAUCAGCAAAGGUCUAGCAUCCAUUAAGCCUUUUUUUCAACUUUUGACCUCGGAUCAGGUAGGGAUACCCGCUGAACUUAAGCAUAUCAUAA
rnacentral:rRNA from 1 species